GCAAGUCGAGCGCGAAAACACUUCGGUGUGCGUAGAGCGGCGGACGGGUGAGUAAUGCUUGGGAAUCUGCCCAGUAGUGGGGGAUAACGUGUGGAAACGCACGCUAAUACCGCAUACGUCCUACGGGAGAAAGCGGGGGAUCUUCGGACCUCGCGCGUCUGGAUGAGCCCAAGUCAGAUUAGCUAGUUGGUGAGGUAAUGGCUCACCAAGGCGACGAUCUGUAGCUGGUCUGAGAGGAUGAUC
rnacentral:rRNA from 1 species